UACGUAGGGUGCGAGCGUUGUCCGGAAUUAUUGGGCGUAAAGAGCUCGUAGGCGGUUUGUCACGUCUGCUGUGAAAUCCCGAGGCUCAACCUCGGGCCUGCAGUGGGUACGGGCAGACUGGAGUGCGGUAGGGGAGAAUGGAAUUCCCGGUGUAGCGGUGAAAUGCGCAGAUAUCAGGAGGAACACCGGUGGCGAAGACGGGUCUCUGGGCCGAUACUGACGCUGAGGAGCGAAAGCGUGGGGAGCGAACAGG
rnacentral:rRNA from 1 species